AAAUUGAAGAGUUUGAUCAUGGCUCAGAUUGAACGCUGGCGGCAGGCCUAACACAUGCAAGUCGAACGGUAACAGGAAGCAGCUUGCUGCUUCGCUGACGAGUGGCGGACGGGUGAGUAAUGUCUGGGAAACUGCCUGAUGGAGGGGGGAUAACUACUGGAAACGGUAGCUAAUACCGCAUAACGUCGCAAGACCAAAGAGGGGGACCUUCGGGCCUCUUGCCAUCGGAUGUGCCCAGAUGGGAUUAGCUAGUAGGUGGGGUAACGGCUCACCUAGGCGACGAUCCCUAGCUGGUCUGAGAGGAUGACCAGCCACACUGGAACUGAGACACGGUCCAGACUCCUACGGGAGGCAGCAGUGGGGAAUAUUGCACAAUGGGCGCAAGCCUGAUGCAGCCAUGCCGCGUGUAUGAAGAAGGCCUUCGGGUUGUAAAGUACUUUCAGCGGGGAGGAAGGCGAUAAGGUUAAUAACCUUGUCGAUUGACGUUACCCGCAGAAGAAGCACCGGCUAACUCCGUGCCAGCAGCCGCGGUAAUACGGAGGGUGCAAGCGUUAAUCGGAAUUACUGGGCGUAAAGCGCACGCAGGCGGUCUGUCAAGUCGGAUGUGAAAUCCCCGGGCUCAACCUCGGGAACUGCAUUCGAAACUGGCAGGCUAGAGUCUUGUAGAGGGGGGUAGAAUUCCGGUGUAGCGGUGAAAUGCGUAGAGAUCUGGAGGAAUACCGGUGGCGAAGGCGGCCCCCCUGGACAAAGACUGACGCUCAGGUGCGAAAGCGUGGGGAGCAAACAGGAUUAGAUACCCUCGGUAGUCCACGCCGUAAACGAUGUCGACUUGGAGGUUGUGCCCUUGAGGCGUGGCUUCCGGAGCUAACGCGUUAAGUCGACCGCCCUGGGGAGUACGGCCGCAAGGUUAAAACUCAAAUGAAUUGACGGGGGCCCGCACAAGCGGUGGAGCAUGUGGUUUAAUUCGAUGCAACGCGAAGAACCUUACCUACUCUUGACAUCCAGAGAACUUUCCAGAGAUGGAUUGGUGCCUUCGGGAACUCUGAGACAGGUGCUGCAUGGCUGUCGUCAGCUCGUGUUGUGAAAUGUUGGGUUAAGUCCCGCAACGAGCGCAACCCUUAUCCUUUGUUGCCAGCGGUUAGGCCGGGAACUCAAAGGAGACUGCCAGUGAUAAACUGGAGGAAGGUGGGGAUGACGUCAAGUCAUCAUGGCCCUUACGAGUAGGGCUACACACGUGCUACAAUGGCGCAUACAAAGAGAAGCGACCUCGCGAGAGCAAGCGGACCUCAUAAAGUGCGUCGUAGUCCGGAUUGGAGUCUGCAACUCGACUCCAUGAAGUCGGAAUCGCUAGUAAUCGUGGAUCAGAAUGCCACGGUGAAUACGUUCCCGGGCCUUGUACACACCGCCCGUCACACCAUGGGAGUGGGUUGCAAAAGAAGUAGGUAGCUUAACCUUCGGGAGGGCGCUUACCACUUUGUGAUUCAUGACUGGGGUGAAGUCGUAACAAGGUAACCGUAGGGGAACCUGCGGUUGGAUCACCUCCUUA
rnacentral:rRNA from 1 species